rnacentral:rRNA from 1 species
GACGAACGCUGGCGGCGUGCUUAACACAUGCCAGUCGAACGGAAAGGCCCUGCUCUUGUUGGGUGCUCGAGUGGCGAACGGGUGAGUAACACGUGAGUAACCUGCCCUUGACGUUGUGAUAACUUCAAGAAACUGGUGCUAAUACCGGCUAGGAGCUCCUGCUGCAUGGUGGGGGUUGGAAAGUUUCGGCGGUGGGGGAUGGACUCGCGGCUUAUCAGCUUGUUGGUGGGGUAGUGGCUAACCAAGGCUUUGACGGGUAGCCGGCAUGAGAGGGUGACCGGCCACAUUGGGACUGAGAUACGGCCCAGACUCCUACGGGAGGCAGCAGGGGGGAAUAUUGCACAAUGGGCGGAAGCCUGAUGCAGCAACGCCGCGUGCGGGAUGACGGCCUUCGGGUUGUAAACCGCUUUCGCCUGUGACGAAGCGUGAGUGACGGUAAUGGGUAAAGAAGCACCGGCUAACUACGUG